GACAGAGGGUGCAAACGUUGUUCGGAAUUACUGGGCGUAAAGCGCGUGUAGGCGGCCCUGUAAGUCGGGUGUGAAAUCCCACGGCUCAACCGUGGAAGUGCACUCGAAACUACAGGGCUAGAGUCCUGGAGAGGAAGGUGGAAUGCUUGGUGUAGAGGUGAAAUUCGUAGAUAUCAAGCGAAACACCGGUGGCGAAGGCGGCCUUCUGGACAGUGACUGACGCUGAGACGCGAAAGCGUGGGGAGCAAACAGG
rnacentral:rRNA from 1 species